rnacentral:lncRNA from 1 species
UAGGAGUCCCACAUACAAAAUUGCAAUGUUCUGAAGCUAUUCGUUUUUGAGUUAUGCGAGAUAAGAACGUACGUACGUACAGACGUCAUGAAAAAAAAAUCUCUUCUGAAUCCAUUUUAAAUCCAGUUUUCAAUCAGUUUGGGGGGGAAAAGUCCUUUAUUCUGUCUGUACGUACAAAUGUCAAUCAGGUCAAAAUGGAUAUUUUCGUUGAAAGAACCGAAAUUUUCGCGAUUACAAUACUUCCUUCACUUCGUACAAGGAAGUAAAAACUCUUAAAAACGCUUUAUUUUAUUUAGAAAACAAGAAUAGUUAGUUUAAAAAAUCCUCAAUGCUUUUUGAAAUCCUUAACCAAUAGACUUCAAUAUUUUCAUUUGAUAUCUAAUUAUCUUUUCCCAUAAUUUAAAUUCUCAAUGUGAUAAUUAUAUAUGUUUUAGGACAAUAAAAAUGUACUUUAUUCCUAUUCAAAAUCGCAGCUAUAUUUGGUUUUGUUCAUACAGAUUAAUUUGAAGCAAAAACUUCAAAUUAUUUUAAAAAAUUCUUUGCUCGCAUCAAAAAGAUCAUAUUCAUUUGUUAAAAUUUUUGCUUCGGACAUGGAGCAUCUCAAAACUGUUAAAGAAGCAAAAACAUUAUUAUAUUUUUAUUCAUCUUAAAGUAUUUUAUACGUUUACCCAUAUUCAAUGUGAAAUAUAUUUUGAUCAUUGCGUUUAAAAUGGCUUUGAUACAUAAUACAUUUAAUAUUUUUAAAAGUAUUUCUUGUUUAUAAUCAUGUGGGGAUUGAAUAGAAGCUCUUUAACUAAAUGACAGCUAAUUAAGAUGCAAUAACACGCCAAAAAAGGUCUUAAUUUAGAAGUCAAACAACAAAAAUCAACGUCAUAUUUUGUGAAAAUGUGAAAAUAUAACGUUGAUUUUUCUUGUUUGACUUCUAAAUUAAAUGACCGAUAUUAAAAUCAUUGAAUUUUGUUAGAAACUGCGUAUGGAGUUAGUAGCUACAUUCCAAAAUACUUUUUAAACAAACGAAACAAGAGAAAGAGAAAAAAAGAGGGCUAUUAAAUAGUUCCAUUUUGUCGUAAAGUCUAAUUAUAAAGCAAAUACUUGCUCAUAACGAUGUGACAUUCAAAAAAGCAAAGCAAUAUUUAUAGGUUUUAAAAGCAUUUCAUUUGACAUAUACAAGUAAGUUUCCUACGAUAAGCAAAAAGUUUUGAAACAAUCUUUCCAGUAAUUAACUUUUAUGCUGAGGUUAAUUUAAAAUCAGAAUACAAAUAAGUAUCAACGUGUUUCAUCAGAAACAAUUUUGGCUUCUGUUAUUCUUAUCAUUAAAUCAUAAACUUUAUGGACUUCGAAGAGCUGAAUGGCAUCAGUUUGUAUCUAAAUACAAUUCUUCCUCCUUAGGAGUGUUCCUGGCAUUUAAUUUGGGGAACGGACAUACGAGCUAGACGAUGAAGCUUGGAUAAUUGCUUUCUAUUUGAAACUUUAAACUCAAUUAUAGUCCUCAAGAUUACGCGAAUUGGACGACGUUGAUUUAUUGCGACGCCGUGAUGCUAGCCCAAGAUAAUGUCAAGCUAGCUCACAUGGGAUGACGCCAGUUUCCUUUUCAAAGGGAAGUGAAGCAUCCGCUGGUUCUUUUGUUUGCGUACUUAAUUUCGAUGGUAGUUGCUUCGUGGUCUUAUCUUCAUCGUAAAUGGAGAUUCUUUCUUCUUAUAAAAUGCAGACUUUGUUUUUAGUUUUGGUAUUCUUUGCUUAUGCAAAAGUGGAAUAUGCUAUUUCGUUUAAGUCAAAGCGGAUGGAAGUUUGUAGAAGGGGCAAAAAAUGAAGCUGAAGAAUAUGAGAGUUGACAAGUUUGGUGGAAGUUAGAUGGUGGAUAAGAUGGCAACUUCAGUGGCUAACAGAUGGUGCUUACCUUCAUUCAGUGAAGCUGAGACGAAACGGACGAUAGAACUAAAGACAAAAACAAGGAGGAUAGAUGCUGUGUAACGACGCAAAGACGAACUAUUCUUUAAUAUAAUAUUUAACAUUUUAUAAAUAGAUUCAUGUUCCUAUCUUCAUUCUGUUUGUGUGCAUCAUCUUAAAAUCAUCAUUAAAUGAAAUUUCAAUUUUACUGUCAUGUUUACAUCAUCUCGUGGACACCAUGAAUAUCUAAGUCUUUGUUCUAUGUAGUAAGUUCUACGAAAAGGAGACCUAGAUAUACACUCACGUGCAAAAUUAACAGGAUUUGUAAAUUAUGGCUAGUUUUAAUAAAAAAAAUUAUGGCUAUUUUUAAUAAAAGCUAUUGAACUGAAGGUAGUAAUUAUGUCGCCGAAGAGUUAUGCAAAUAUUCAGAGUCGAAUAUGUAAUUCACAAUGGAAUUGCUUCUCGUAAGAGUUAGGUAAAUUUUAUAUGGUAUUGCAUAAAAUAAGUAUCCACCAAUGUACUAAUGGCGAAUUGAGGUGAAGAAUUGUCUGUAGAUUGGAAACAGGCCAAUCCCAAGCGCAGAUGACUGCAAAACUAAAUGUAAUGCCCACUGUCGUCUGCAGUUUCUGGAAACACUUUUAGGACACUGAAUCCAUAUCGAAAAGACUUGAUGAAACCCAAACAAGAUCUACAACGGCAAACGAGGAUCGUAUUUGACGCCUUCGCGCGGCGACACAGGACUGCUGCAGCUUCCCAGCUCCAACGUGUACUGUAUGCUGCUACUGAAACCCAAUAUUCACGGUCUAAAGUUACACAAAGGUUCAUGUGAUAGAACUGUUUGCCAGAAGACCCACUGUUUGUGUCUUGCUCACUGCAGCACGAGAAGAAGCUCGUUUAGUAAGAUGCCCACAACAUGCGCCUUGGACCAGACUAAAUUUGAGAGCAGUUGUAUUUUGCACAUUCAGCCUUUCGGCGUACCUAUGUCUAGGCAUACCUAUUCUCGGCGUACCUAUGUAUAGAUAGUCUGUAACACGAUACCAUCCAUCCCUCAUCAACGAAAAGGAUCGUCACGAUGGUGGAGGUGUAAUGGUUCGAGAAGGCAUUAUUUUGGACGACCAUCCCCCCUGCAUGUAUUCGGCUAUGAAGCCUUACUGCUAUGAGGCAUCAGAGCACUGUAUUCGACAUUUCAGGUUUCUGGUUUCCUGCUGAUACACGACAACGCUCUCCUAAUACACAUACGGUUCAGCUGUUCGACGACUACAGGGAAAGUGAUGAUAUUCGCCGCAUAGAUUGGCAAAUCAAAUCGUCUCAUCUAUUAAUUCUAUCUUGAUAGAUGAGACACUUGAUGGCUUGAUAAAUUUAAAAGAUGAGACGAUUUUGCUUGAUAGAUGAGACACUUGAUGGCUUGAUAAAUUUAAAAGAUGAGACGAUUUUGCUUGAUAGAUGAGACACUUGAUGGCUUGAUAGAUUUAAUAGAUGAGACGAUUUGACCAAAUUUGGGAAGCUCUUGGGAGGGCAAUUUUAUUUCACCAACUCCCUCUGAGGGCCAUCCUGGAACUGAAACUGCCAUUCUGCGGAAGUGGGAUCGACUGCCACAGGGACUCGUAAACUGCUUCCUCUCCAUGCCGUCAUGCUGCGAAAAUUGUUUGGCAGUGGUAGAGGAUCGUACUCCAUAUUAGAUUCAUUUUCAGUUCGAUAUCACAAGAUGGAUUUUAAAUAUCUCUGUACUAUGAGCUUUACUAAUUAUCACGCAUACAUAAAAUGACUUUUGAAUGGUACAUCUCUUUCUCUGCUAUAAAUGUGUAUUUAUACUUGGUUUCACUAAAUUUUGUUCUUUAGCUUUUCAGAAAUUCCGACUAAAAUGCAAAUUUUCUUAAUUUUGCACAGGAGUGUAUAUAUAUAUAUAUAUAAUAUAUAUAUAUAUUAAAAUGUUAAAUAAGCAUUCUUUAGCUUUUUAUGAAAACACUGGAGAUAACCUCUACUUUAUUAUUUCAUUUAAAUUAAAAUGUUUCUGUAAAGGCAGUUUUAUAUAAAAUUUUUAAUUUUCUGGAAAAGUUUUCUGGAAAGUAAUUUUGAAUCCCACUAUCCAAGACAAUUUUCUAAAAUAUCUUUAAUAUUCUCAGAAUUUAUUAGACAAACGACUUAUGAAUUUAUUUUUAAAAUGUAUGAAAAUCUUACUUUAUCAAAAAAAUUUUCAAAAAUAUUAUAACCAAAUUAAUUAAUUCUUAUAGGAUUCCAGUAAACAUACGGCGAAUUCCAGUAAACAUGCUUAUUUUAAUAUAUUAAAUAUAUGUAACUUUACUUUUUGAUUUAUUUCCUACUUAAAGACACUGAAUAUUCUGAAUUUAAAAAUAAGAAAACUUUAGAUUAGCAAGGACAAAACAGUAUUCCCUUCAUGUACGUAAAUCGAAAUAAUAAAUCACAGCAGUCUUCCAAAACAUUUGAAAUUUUCUUUAUUUUCUAAACAAAUAUUAAAAAAAGAAUAAAUCCUAAUACAUUAUGUGAUAUUUUUGCAGAUAAGUGCAGUUCUAUGUGCAAACUCAACUACACCGUUUUAUUGGCGCAGAAAUUCAUUGCAAAUGGUUUGUUGUCCUUCAUAAAUUAUUUUAGAGAUUAUCCAAGUUAGUAAGUUUCCUUUGAUAUUAAACUUGCUGUUGAUUGUGCAAUUAUUCAAAUUUACAGAGCUCUGAUAUCUGGUAUUUAUGUUAUAAGAAUAUAGUGCAAAUAGGAACAGUGAAAGAGUCUCUCUGUGCGUCUGUGCCUUUUCAGUAAAAUUUUUUCUUAAAAUUGAAGAAUGAAAAUCUGGAUAGUAACGUAUAAAUGUAUAAAGAGAAUGAAAACAACGAAAUAUUAUCUAAGAAUUCUUUUCAGAUGUAAAUCCUGACUUGUCUUUUGUUGUUAUUAUUAUGAAUUUAUAAAUUAGUUUUCUCCCAUAGAAGGAUUUGUUGUCUUGAAUAAAUUAGUACAAGAAUUGCUUUGAAAGGUUUUAUUUUUCAAAAGGAUAAGAGUGUGUUCGAAAUACUUUCUAUUUGAAUUCAGCUCCACACUUUCUAUACAAUUUAUAGAAAAUUACAUUAUUUGCAAAAACUUAUAUUAGUUUUGAAAAUAUUUACAAUACACUAGCAUUGCAAGUCCCAAUUUUUAUAAUUUUUAUACCUAAAAUUCUACCUUAAUAUAAUACUUUUUAAUGAUUACAACAACACAAAAAUUUACAUAAAAUAUUAUCACAUAAUAGGUGCACCUCUUUACUGAAGAGAUGGUUCCUGUAAAAUAUAACGGAUUUUACAAGAAGUUUAAUUUUCUGAUAAUUAAUUUACAGAUAAUGGAAAAAUACGAAAAAAUCUUCAUUCUUCAAUUGAGAUCCAAUGACACAAUUUGCAGGAAAUAUAACAGGAGUUUUUAUCCAACAAAUUACAUGCAAGUGUUAUAAUAAAUAUUAUAAUUGAAUUAAACUAAGCAAAAUGAAUGAUUACAAUGAAAUACUACAUUCUACAUCCAUAAUAAUCUGCAAUAUCAGAUUCUUAUCGAAAAUUAUCACUUUUAAUAUGCAUUUUAUUACAGUAAUUUAGUUAUUUAAUUUUCAGCCGCACGUAAAAUUACGAACUUAUACGUGCAUUCUUAAUAUAUUCUAAAAUAUUAAAAUAUUGAUGAUAGAAAUACUAUCAUCGGAUAAAAUACGUUACCAAAAAUUUAAAAGCGUUUUUACUAUUAACUACACUGAUACAAUUUCAUAAGUAAAUACUCAUAUGACUCUUAUAUUUCUUAAAUGUAUGUGUCUUCUAUAAAUAAAGACAAUGAUUUUUUUUUUGGUUUUUUUGGUUUAAUAAUUAACAAAGAAAAUAAUAGUAAACAUGUUUAUCAAUCGAUAUGCAAAAUAUUAACUAAAAUAAAAUACUAUUUUGUUCACUGACGUGGUUUAAAUAUUUUGCACCUUUAAACAUAAUGCAAAUUAUGUUUAAAGGUAUGAUUUAUGCAUUGAAACUUGGUAGUUAAAACAUAAUUUGCAUUAUGUUUAAAGGUGCAAAAUAUUUAAACCACGUCAGUGAACAAAAUAGUAUUUUAUUUAUUUUAGAAGUAUUUUUAGAAGAAGUGAAUACUUGUUUUGGUUAAGUCUUUGCGAGGUGCAAUGAACUAUAGAUUCCAGAAUAAUUAUAGGGAAAAGAUUAUAGAAAGGAAGAAAGGGAAAAUUUAAGCAGAUAUAGUUAUUAUAUUGAUGUAGAAAGACUAAAAUAUCACUAUAUAAUUAACAGAGUAUUAAGUGAGAAAAACUAAUAAAUCGAAAGGUACAAAUAA